rnacentral:rRNA from 1 species
AUUGAACGCUGGCGGCAGGCCUAACACAUGCAAGUCGAACGAGCGGCGGACGGGUGAGUAAUGUCUGGGAAACUGCCUGAUGGAGGGGGAUAACUACUGGAAACGGUAGCUAAUACCGCAUACCAUCAGAUGUGCCCAGAUGGGAUUAGCUGGUUGGGGGGGUAACGGUUCACCAAGGAGACGAUCCCUAGCUGGUCUGAGAGGAUGAUCAGCCACACUGUAACUGAGACACGGUCCAGACUCCUACGGGAGGCAGCAGUGGGGAAUAUUGCACAAUGGACGCAAGCCUGAUGCAGCCAUGCCGCGUGUAUGAAGAAGGCCUUCGGGUUGUAAAGUACUUUCAUCGGAGAGGCGUUACCCGAAGAAGAAGCACCGGCUAACUCCGUGCCAGCAGCCGCGGUAAUAC